CACGUAGGCGGCUUCGCAAGUCGGAUGUGAAAUCCCUCGGCUCAACCAAGGACGUGCAUUCGAAACUGCGGAGCUUGAGUAUGGAAGAGGGUCGCGGAAUUCCCGGUGUAGAGGUGAAAUUCGUAGAUACCGGGAGGAACACCAGUGGCGAAGGCGGCGACCUGGGCCAAUACUGACGCUGAGGUGCGAAAGCGUGGGGAGCAAACA
rnacentral:rRNA from 1 species